CCACCACCCCCCCGGCGAGUACGGGAGUGCGGGUAGCGGUAAGGGAGCGGCAGCAGGGGCUGCGCGUUUCCUUACGUCUCGGGUUGCCGGUUAACGGGGGGUAAGUAACAUUCGCUGCCUCCGUAGGCAAUGAUGAGCUUUGAGGAGAGUGGUAAUUUUAAAAAGGAAAUGUCUUCUCAUCAGCGCGUCCUUUGUUCCAAAUGUAUUCUGAAGGGAAAUCAGGAAAUGAAAGAAAGGAACAUUGCGUUUUGGUUCUGACUUUAAGGAAGGAGACGUGCCCACCGAUAGUUAUUAAUCAUCAGUAAUGUACUUAGAAACAUACGUGUCUUUAAACUGCUCUUCAAAGUUGGCACGGGGACCGAUGAACUGCGCUCCCUAGAAAACGGGAAGUUCAGAUCCAGACUUUCCCUUCCUUCGUCUUUCAAUACAGGUAUAUCCCUGGUAAACCGUGGUUUGUUAAGCAAUAAAUUCAAGAGUCAAAUACAGGUGGAACUGCUGCAGUGCCUCAGCAUCACAGCUGCCUCCGUGUGCUAAGUGCUGCAGACCCACUAGGGCGUGCAGGCACUGCUCUGCUGAAAUACCACUCGUGGUCCUACUUGAUGCCUUUGUUACACAGAGCCGUGUAGCGAUCUGUGGGUUCAGUGAGGUAACCUAAUGUAGGCAGGCCAGCCCCCCAGGAAGAUGCUCACUGAGUGAGCAGAGCUGGAAAGGACUUUCAUGCAGAAAUACCUGACGAGUGCAGAGAUCAGGUGAGAACAUGCAGAUGCAGCCUGCUUGGGUGGGGGUGGGCAGUACAGCCUUGCAGUUGAGAUCGAGGAAAUGCUUGGUUGCAGCUCACUAAUGUUACUCUGUUUUUCAGUGAUACCUUUUCGAGUCCUGAAGAAGUCUACCGCAAGCAGCGAGCAGAUAGUAUAGUACUCUUGGCCACUUUGGGCUAGAGAAUCACUUUGGUUUUUCCAGCCUCUACUGCCUUCAUUUCUGACCUGUGAUUUCACCAGAUGGCGAACAACAUAACUGUAUUUGUGGGGAAUACAAAGAUUGGCUGAUAGGUAAUGGAGGACGCCUGUUGUUUACCCACACUUGCAUCAUUGUGCACCUGAAAUAUACAAAAGCAUGUGGAAGCUGCUUUGACCAUCCAUGUAGGGCCAUGACAUACACAAGAACUGAUUAAAAUGAAGGUUUUUGGUCGGCAUCCAUAUACGCAAACCAAAGAUGGAAGAGCUGCAUCUCAAAUAUCCAACUGUGUUCCUACUCAGCAAUGCCAGGGGUUAGAGUAUUUCUCUUGCUGUUUUACAUCCCAGACUUGGUACGAGCAAGCACAGAUGUGUCUUUUGUGCAGGAGAGGGAAGGAAGAGAGAGCCAAAUGAAAAAUCCUGAAUGACAACAUCUCCAAGUAUCACAGCAGUACCUUCUAAAGCUGGAAGAUAAAGCUGAUGAGGUGGUUACCAUGGCUACAGAAGCGGCAUAUUUGAAUGAAAAUUGAUUUUAAGCUUUUAAAUGCUAAUUGCAUCUGUGAACAGGUGACAUUUGAAAUAUCUUUUUCUCCCUCCUCCCUCCCCCCAUAUGUUGCAGAGUAUAAUGAGUGAAAGAAGAGGGUGACAAAGGUGACAACACACUGUUAAAUUAGAACACUGAUACAGUCUUCAACACUAAAGUAUGUCACACCAUUUGCUUGUGUAGUAGUACAAGUAAUAAGUGAACACAUAUAUAGAUCACAGUGUCUGAGGAGCAGAAACUGUCUAGAACCCAAUUAAUAUAUUUUUCAUGGUAUUGUGAAAAAUUAAACAGCUUUAUUUAAAUUAAUCACCAGAACAAUUGUUUCUGGUAGCUCAUAAUAAAGAGGCUAUUAAAACUUACCAUUCAGAAACUGCUAUAAAUUCUCAGUGAUGAGGAAGCUUUGCAAAUGCCUGGAAUUAGAAGCAUUUCUUAUUUCACUCUGUACACUGGGAAAUAAAGUUGAACUUCUACACAGUAGUAGACUCAGACUAGGGAACCAAGAUGCUGUGUAGACUGGUGUUACUGUGCAACUGCUGCUAAUUGCUGUCACACCACUGUCUGACCACACUCAGGCUGUAGUUGCAGAAGACAUAGAAGGUGUAAUUUACCUCACUGUAAGCAUAGUUUUAAUAUGAUCUGAAAGCUCUUUAACUUGCAGUGGGUUACAUUCCACUUGUUAGCGCUUGCUUUUCGAAACACUCUUGAUAUGAUUACUGUUUAAGACAUGAUCAGUUGUAAUGCAGAUUUAUAUUUUGUUAAAUUAAUUGUAAAAUUGUAAAUAAAAAUUGUAAAUCUGUGAGGGG
ensembl:lncRNA